rnacentral:lncRNA from 1 species
GAGAAUCAAGUAAGGGCAGCCAUUUGCUGAGUCUCAUCUUAUACCACAGCGCCACCUAUUGAACGCUGAUAAAAAUACAUCCGGAAGUACCUAAAACCUGUUGAAGUCUUGUCUACACAAUUUUAUAAGUAACUAUAAAUUAUAUGAAUACUUUCACACACUAUUACUUUUCACUCAGUGGGCUCCCUGGGUCACUCUGUUCCUUCUUGGCCAGAAAAUGAAUUCCAAGCAGCACCUGCCUAUUUG